rnacentral:tRNA from 1 species
UGGGAUGUAAGAGGAGAAUUGCCGCGCGGCUGGGGGUCAAGGGGUCGCAGGUUCAAAUCCUGUCGUCCCGACCA